UUGAACGCUGGCGGCAGGCCUAACACAUGCAAGUCGAGCGGAUGAAGGGAGCUUGCUCCUGGAUUCAGCGGCGGACGGGUGAGUAAUGCCUAGGAAUCUGCCUGGUAGUGGGGGAUAACGUCCGGAAACGGGCGCUAAUACCGCAUACGUCCUGAGGGAGAAAGUGGGGGAUCUUCGGACCUCACGCUAUCAGAUGAGCCUAGGUCGGAUUAGCUAGUUGGUGGGGUAAAGGCCUACCAAGGCGACGAUCCGUAACUGGUCUGAGAGGAUGAUCAGUCACACUGGAACUGAGACACGGUCCAGACUUCUACGGGAGGCAGCAGUGGGGAAUAUUGGACAAUGGGCGAAAGCCUGAUCCAGCCAUGCCGCGUGUGUGAAGAAGGUCUUCGGAUUGUAAAGCACUUUAAGUUGGGAGGAAGGGCAGUAAGUUAAUACCUUGCUGUUUUGACGUUACCAACAGAAUAAGCACCGGCUAACUUCGUG
rnacentral:rRNA from 1 species